UGUGUGUGUGUGUGUAAAAUCUUGUUGAUGGCCUGAUUUGCUGUCAACCAGUGCUUGUCAACCCAUUACUAGGCUUUCGUAGGGUGGAGACAGACGCCUGGAAAGCUGAAGGGCUGCAGGUCAUGCAUCAUUCUCCUUUUCUCAGAACACCUUUAUAUGAACAUGGAAUCAAGACUGAGUCUGGAACCCCCAACCCAUGGGAUCAUGCUUCAUUCAUGGAAGAUUUUCCUUCUACAGUUAAGCAGCUCUGGAAAUGCCCGUGAAGACACGUCAAGAGGCAUGUUUCCUCGAUGAUUCUUAAAAAAAAAAAUCAGUUUAGUAGAUGACAAAAUGACUGACCAUCACAGAUCACAGUCAUUGAAUGAUGUUAGUUCAACAGAAAAAGUGCACAUCUCCUUGUUGUGAUUAAGGAACGAAGAAGGCUCUAAAGUUGCUUCUUAACUGGACUCCACCUGAUUCUUGUAACAGCCUUGCCUUCAGUUUUGAAAUGGCCUUACCCAAGCUGCCUCUGAGUUUCUAAAUCCCGGAACUUUAAUACUACAGUUCCUCUGACUUCUGAAAGAAAGAUGAAAGUGCACAAGCUAGAGCCAUCUUGAGCAGUCCCACCAGCUGGAGACCAAGUAUUCAAAUUAUACCUAUGAGCCAAUUUUAAUGCACUC